AGCAGCAGCCACGGGAAUACGGAGGGUGCAAGCGUUAAUCGGAAUUACUGGGCGUAAAGCGCACGCAGGCGGUCUGACAAGUCAGAUGUGAAAUCCCCGGGCUUAACCUGGGAACUGCAUUUGAAACUGUCAGGCUGGAGUCUUGUAGAGGGGGGUAGAAUUCCAGGUGUAGCGGUGAAAUGCGUAGAGAUCUGGAGGAAUACCGGUGGCGAAGGCGGCCCCCUGGACAAAGACUGACGCUCAGGUGCGAAAGCGUGGGGAGCAAACAGGAUUAGAUACCCCUGUAGUCCCUGUCUCUUAUAC
rnacentral:rRNA from 1 species